CCUACGGGUGGCAGCAGUCGAGAAUCAUUCACAAUGGGGGAAACCCUGAUGGUGCGACGCCGCGUGGGGGAAUGAAGUUCUUCGGAUUGUAAACCCCUGUCAUGUGGGGGCAAAUUAAAAAGAUCGUACCACAAGAGGAAGAGACGGCUAACUCGGGGCCAGCAGCCGCGGUAAUAAAGAGGUCUCAAGCGUUGUUCGGAAUCACUGGGCGUAAAGCGUGCGUAGGCUGUUUCGUAAGUCGUGUGUGAAAGGCGCGGGCUCAACCCGCGGACGGCACAUGAGACUGGGAGACUAGAGUAAGGGAGGGGGAACCGGAAUGCUCGGUGUAGCAGUGAAAUGCGUAGAUAUCGAGAGGAACACUCGUGGCGAAGGCGGGUUCCUGGACAUUAACUGACGCUGAGGCACGAAGGCCAGGGGAGCGAAAGGGAUUAGAUACCCCAGUAGUC
rnacentral:rRNA from 1 species